UUCAGAGCUGGUCGUUUUCUUAAUGGACUCUGUCAGGCCGGCGCCGGAGCAGUACAGAAAAAAAUCUCAGAACAGUCUCCCCCGCACCCUUCACGCCUGCAAGAGAUGUACAAUAACAGGAAGCCAAAACACGGGUUCGAAAAAAACAUAUAUCCAGCGACAUCUGCAAGCCCGGAUGCCCAGCAAGUACAAGAGACAUUCUGCACCCCGAAAGACCGCCCCUUUCUGAAAGGGUCGCUGAAAGGAGGAACACGAAUGUUCAAGCAGCAAACCUUUAUUGGAGCAGUCUGCCGUGUUGACUCACAAAAUGGAGACCAGCAGCCGCCUGGGCUGAGCUGGAGGCUAAAAUAGGGUUUUGCAGAUAACAAAACCGCAGCCCUCAGCAGAAGGGUACUCCUCCAGUGGCUGAAAAGCCAGAUGUAAGCCGAGCUGUCUCCCGGGGGAUGGAACACAGAAUAGGACGUUACUGGAAGAGGUACGACCCCGAAGUGCAGCCCAGUGCAGCACAGCACCUCCCAGAUGCCACGUUGCCUGAGAGCAUCCAUGCAUCUGCCUCAACCGCUGUGUGAACUCUGACCGCAAAUGUUUGCUCCAGCCCCUGUAGGUGACAGACCCCUUUCCAAUCCCCUGUAAAGCUUCCUGCCUUUUCUUUGUUCAGGACUUUGUUCAGCACUAAGGGAGUUAGGGCUUUGUUACCCAGGUGAAUAAAGUCUGUGCCUAGUUGCCUUUCA